CCGCCUCCCAGGUUCAAGCGAUUCUCGUGCCUCAGCCUCCUGAGUAGCUGGGAUUACAGGCUCCUGCCACCACGCCUGGCUGAUUUUUGUAUUUUUAGUAGAGACGGGGUUUUGCCAUGUUGGCCAGGCUGGUCUCAAACUCCUGACCUCAGGUGAUCUGCCCACCUGGGCCUCCCAAAGUGCUGGGAUUGCAGACGUGAGCCACCACGCCCAGCUGAUAUCUUACAUAUUUAACUGCUGCAUAAUAUUCCACAGAAACCAUGCUUUUCAAGAUAUUCCUGCCUAUAUCAUUGUGUUAUUUCUUCCACCAGGGCGCAGCAGUCUGGAAAUAGAAACAAUGGUGGUGGAUCAAUUCAAUUGAUCCAGAUUUGGAAGUUGCGUGGCAAGUGAGAAGGAUUUGGAUGGUAAUGGUGAGAAAGGAUUUGAAAUAAUUUAUCAAACCUGGUUCAGAUCAAUCCUGGUGCAUAAGUGACUAACAAGGAGCUGGAGUGGAUGGCAUAGCAUAGUGGCUAGAACCCUAAAACAAGGGAUUUUACAUGAAAGUGGAAAGGUAACUGUUUGGUUUUGCAUUUACCCAUUCCCUCUGUUGAGUUUUUUUUUUUUAAUACUGAGUUAUUCACUACUUUGUCUUCUUUUUUUUUGAGACAGAGUCUCAUUCUGUUGCUCAGGCUAGAGUACAGUGGCAAUCUCGGCUCACUGCAGUCUCUACCUCCUGGGUUCCAGUGAUUCUUGUUCCUCAACCUUCUGAGUAGCUGGGAUUACAGAUGCCCACUACCAUGCCCAGCUAAUUUUUGUGUUUUUAUUAGAGAUGGGGUUUCACCAUGUUGACCAGGCUGAUCUCGAACUCCUGACCUCAAGUAACCCACCCACCUCAGCCUCCCAAAGUGCUGGGAUUACAGGCGUAAGCCACUGCACCUGGCCUGCUUUGCCUUCUUAAACAGAUGAUUCAGAACAUAAUAUAACCUUGUCUUGUGACUCAGGGUGGCCAUUAUGAUCAUCUGCUUUUGACCUGGACCUCUGAGGCAUGUAGCAAUAUGUCUUUCCUUAUGUCUUUUCCCUAAGUGUGUUCCGGAUUUUUGUGCUUUUGAAGAAGUUCUGAGAUCAACGUAUUCUUGGUUCUUCUAAUGUGUAGCUGUUUGACUAAGGACUGACUCCAUGCAUCUCCUAUGAAGUGAAGUUCAUGGGUUUUAUGACAGCAAUUUUACAUGCUGCUUAGAUGCUUUUUUCUCAUCUAGGUUUUUAGUUAUAUUAUGGCAGAGAUUAUAAGAAAUCUGAUCUCUAGAGAAGUGCUGGUACUUCUUUAAUUUGGCAUAGACUAUUUUUGGCAAGCUAGUUUUCUAGCAUUGAACACUUUAAUGAAUAAGUUCAUAGUCACCCUAUCCACAUUCUUUUUAAUGGUAGAAAACUGUCUGUCUAAUACAGUAGCCAUUAGCUACAUGUAGAUUUUUAAAUUUAAAUAUACAUUAAUUAAGAGUAGGCUGGGCAUGGUGGUUCAUGCCUGUAAUCCCAGCACUUCAGAAGGCCAAAGUGGGUGGAUCAUUUGAGGUCAGGAGUUCAAGACCAGCCUGGCCAACAUGGUGAAACCCCGUUUCCACUAAAAAUACAAAAAUUAGCUGGGCGUGGUGGUACACACCUGUAAUCCCAGCUACUCGGGAGGCUGAGGCAGGAGAAUUCCUUGAACCCAGGAGGCAGAGGUUUGCAGUAGCCGAAAUCCGCCACUGCACUUCAACCUGGGUGACAGAGCAAGACUCCAUCUCAAAAAAAAAAAAAGAAAGAAAAAAUUCCCUUAUUGUACUAGCCACAUUUCAAGUGCUUAGUAGUCACAUGUGGCUACUGGCUACCCUAUUGGAAAGUGCAGAUGUAGAACACUUUCAUCAUCAAAUAAAGUUCUAUAGAGCAGCAAUGGUUUAGACAUUGAGCCAGUCUCUUCUCAGGCUUCUUGUUUCCAAACUAGAGUCUCAUGGUUUAAGUGCAUCCUUGUACAAGCAACCAUGCUCAUACUAUUCUCCAACACUCUCUGAUUUCCAACCCCUGAUCAUUGUCAUUUGCUCUCUAUUAGUAUUAAUUUCCUAUGGCUACUAUAACAAAUCAUCACAAGUUUAGUGGCUUAAAACAACAUAAAUUUAUUAUCACAUAUGACAUAGUUUUGAUAUUUGUCCCCUUCAAAUCUCAUGUUGAAAUGUGACCCCUAAUGUUGGAGGUGGAGCCCACUGGGAGGUGUUUAGGUUAUGGGGGUUGAUCCCUCUUGAAUAGCUUGGUGCUGUCCCCAUGAUAAUGAAUGAGUUCUCACUCUAUUAGUUUACAGGAGAUCUAGUUGUUUACAAGUACAUAGCAUGCCUCCCCUCUCUCUAUCACUCCCCCCUCACCAUGUGACAUGCCUGCUCACCCUUUGCCAUCUGCCAUGAUUAGAAGCUUCCUGAGGUUCUCACCAGAAGCAGAUGCUGGCAUCAUGCUGCUUGCUGCUUAUACAGCCUGCAGAACUGUGAGGCAAAUCAACCUCUUUUAUUUAUAAAUUACCCAGUCUCAGGUGUUCCUUUAUAGCCACACAAAACCAACUAAGGCAAUACAGUUUUGGAGAUUGAAGUUCAAAAUCAGCCAUUUUCCAGCUUCUAGAUGCUGCCUACAUUCCUUAGUUCAUAGCUCCUUCCUCCGUCUUCAAAGCCUGCAGCGUAGCAUCUUCAAGUCUCUCUGUGACUCUCUGACCUCCGCCUCCAUAGUCACGUGACCUUCUCUGACUCUGACCUUCCUGCCUCUUUUAUGAAGAGUCCGUAAUAAAGAUUAGGUCGCCUUGGCUAAUCCAGAGCAAUCAUCUCAUUUCAAGAAUAUUAACUUAAUCACACCUGCAAAGUCCCUUUCAGCAUUUUACCAUUAUGUUAUACCGGUAUGUUGUGAGGACCACUAUUCAGCCUGCCACAGACAGUUUUCUACAGUGGCAUUUUGUUUUCCUGUGAUGGACAGUGAUCCAGUGGUCCUUAUUUUCCAGGACCAGAGUAUGCUGGUCCAGCACAGAGUAUGCUGAUAUCCCAAGGUUUUAUAUAAAGGGAGGAUAAUGUUUUAAAAUCUUAUUUUCUGUGAGAAAACAUUUUAAAUGGUCCAUUUUCAAGGUAUGAUAAAUCUAAGUACUGGCAGCCAGCCUGCGGACGUGACAAACCGCACAGCUCAUGCACCUAGAAAGUCGCAAUAAGCAAACAGAAUGUAGAGGAGGAGUCAGCCUAUAAAAGGGAAGAAAAAGUUUACAGAGUUAUUGGAAAAUCGAAACUUAAGCAGGGAAGGGGACUGGGUUAUAACCUUAUAAGGGAUAAUGAAACUUAGGUGACGUCCAGAAAGAUUGUAACCCCACAGUAUUUGACCAAUGAGGAACUGGGGGAGGGACUUGCGUGCUAGGAGAUAAAUUACCUGCUGUAGCUGCCCCAGCUGUGCCUGCCUACCAGACACCCAUUCUUGCACGAUCACCAUUAAAAUUCUCUCUUCCAUUGUUCUUUUGUGUCUCUGAGUCCAUUCUUUGGGUUUGGACAGAUGAAUGUGUUUCUCACAAACUUGGGGGCCCAUCUGGGAUCUCUGUGCCUGCGUGGAGUUGGACUCCAGCCAAGAGGGGAGAGGCGUCCCACCUGAUUUAAGUGGCCUGCUCUGUCUGGGAAUCCCGGCUCCCUGCAGAGGCCAUAGACAAACCUGAGACUGUUAUUCAGGAGGCAGUGGAGGUGACACAGGGAGAAAAGCAGGCACCGUGGCAACCAGGCAACCUCAUGUACGAGCCAAGGUAGGAAAAUUGGACUGUGAGUAUUGUCUUGGUGGUUGGGCAUUUUUGGAGGUCGAGUGUGUGUGACUGAGACGUAUCCUAGGUAUGAAGCAAGUGUGGAGACCCAAUUUGCGGUUCUGUUCUCUCGCGAGGGGAACAGCCAGAGACGGAUGAAAUGAUUCUCGGUGUGUGCAAGAAACCUCUAGUGGGGGGCUUGAGUACACAGGGAAAAACUCAGACACAGAUUGACGAAAAUGGGAAACAGAAAUUCUAGGCCUAGGGGACAAAGGAAAGAGGGAGCCAAAGAGACUCCCUCUGACAUUCCCCCGGAUAGUCCUUUAAGGAGAAUGCUGCAGGUUUGGAGGGACAACCCUUGAACCAGGGACAAGGAAAAGGAAAAGAUGAUAAAGUAUUGCUGUUUUACCUGUCCCAAAGACCCCAUUCGCAAGCCUUCAGUCUUUUGAUUUAAGUUUGGCUCAGAUGAGAACUGGGUGUGCCAAGCUUUAAUUCUCUAUGUGAAUGAUAAAACCCCAUUCUAGGCCGGGCACGGUGGCUUACGCCUGUGGUCCCAGCACUUUGGGAGGCCGAGGUGGGUGGAUCACGAUGUCAGGAGAUCGAGACCAUCCUGGCUAACACAAUGAAACCCCAUCUCUACUAAAAAUACAAAAAAUUAGCCAGGUGUGGUGGUGGGCGCCUGUAGUCCCAGCUACUUGGGAGGCUGAGGCAGGAGAAUGGCGUGAACCCGGGAGGCGGAGCUUGCAGUGAGCUGAGAUCGCACCACUGCACUCCAGCCUGGGCGACAGAGCAAGACUCCACUAAAACAAAACAAAACAAAAUAAAACAAAACAAAAAACAAAAACCAUCCUCACAAGAAGAGAUAGGUUAUGCUCUCUGCUGGAUCAAAGAAUUAACCCCCACGUUCCCCAUCAAAGAAGAAGAAAAAGAGCCUAGUAAAAAGCUCUUGCCCAGUGAAAAGCCCUGGGACCCCCUAUCAUGCUUGCCCCUCCAUACAGCUCACAAAAUAGGGGACAGGAAGAUCAAGGGGGCAACAGGAGGGUUAGAGGAAGAAAGACCUGGAGACCAUGGGGGAACCAAACCAAUUGCUCCUUUAAGUCCUCAUCCAAAUUUAAGAAAAAGAACAGUGUAAGAGGGAUAUUAAGAACUUCCUUAUCCUGUCCACACAGCAGGCAUCUAGCAUGCUCCCUCUUAGAGAAGUUCCCAUGGGACAGGGAGAGACUGGCUUUGUAAAUGCUCCUCUUACAAGUUCUGAAGUUAGGAAUUUCAAGAAGGAAAUGAAACCACGCCUAGAAGAUCCCCUCGGUUUAGCAGACCAGCUGGACCAAUUCCUAGGAACCAGCUUUUACACCUGGGCUGAAAUGAUGUCUAUCAUGAAUAUUCUGUUCACAGGAGAAGAAAGGGGAAUGAUUAGGAGAGCAGCCAUGACCAUCUGGGAGAGGCAACACCCUCCCAGGCAAGGAGUCUUGCCAACCAAACAAAAAUUUCCAAAUGUCGAUCCUAAAUGGGAUAAUAAUGAUCCCAGGGACUGGACCCAAAUGCAGGACCUCAGGGAACUAAUAAUUAAAGGGAUCAAAGAGUCCACUCCUAGGACACAAAAUGUCUCAAAGGCAUUCAAGAUUCAACAAGAAAAUGAGGAAACUCCCUCUGCAUUCCUGCAGAGGUUCCUGAGAAAAUACUCUAGAUUAGAUCUGGAGGACCCAGUAGGGCAAGGCCUUUUGAAGGUUAACUUUGUAACUAAGAGCUGGCCUGACAUUACAAAAAAAUUACAAAAGAGUAAUGAAUGGAAUGAGAAACCAGUUGAAGAAUUACUGAGGGAAGCUCAGAAGGUCUUUGUAAGGAGAGAGGAAGAGAAGCAGAAACAAAAAGCGAGAAUCAUGGUUUCCACUGUGGAAAAGGUAGUCAGAAGAAGGUUAGAUCAAGAUCCCUCUUGAAGGAAACAAUGGGAUAAUAGAUUUUGACACAGAGGAAGAAGGGAAAAGCUCCUAAGACUAUGAGUUGAUGUUACAAGUGCGGAAAACCAGGGCAUUUUAAGAGAGAAUGUCCUGAAUGGAAAAAAGAAGAAAAAAUGAUCCCCUUCAUGACGGUUGAUGAAGACAAGGGGGGCCAGGGGUUCCUUCUGAGUAGGACCCUCCAGGAACCGCUGAUAAAUGUGAAGGUGGGACCCGAGGGAGAAGAAGUGACAGUUUUGGUUGAUACUGGGGUGGCUUGCUCCUCCCUAAUUCACCAACCAAGGGGUACAGAAGUCUCUAAGAAAAAAUUGACAGUAUCGGGGUAAAAGGGGAGGGAUUUCAGGUUCUGAUAUUCAAGGAAAUGUUAAUUAGAUUGGGACCUGAACAAAUUGAGGUGUGACUCUUAUAUGUUCCUGAAGCAGGAACUAACCUCCUUGGUCAAGACCUGAUUGUGAGAUUGGGUUUAGGAUUAGGAAUAGAGGAAGGACAAAUAAAAGUAAUGAUGGGCCUCCUAACAAAGCAAGAGGAAAGAAAAAUUAAUCCCCUUGUGUGGAUUAGGGAAGGCAACAGGGGAGGGUUAAAAAUCACACCCUUACAGAUUAAACUAAAACAACCAGGAGAAGUAGUUUUCAGAAAACAGGCCAGGCACAGUGGCUCACGCCUGUAAUCCCAGCAUUUUGGGAGACUGAGGUGGGCGUAUCAUGAGGUCAAGAGAUCGAGACCAUCCUGACCAACAUGGUGAAACCCCGUCUCUACUAAAAAUACAAAAAUUAUCUCGGCAUGGUGGCACACACCUGUAGCCCCGGCUUCUCAGGAGGCUGAGGCAGGAGAAUCACUUGAACCUAGGAGGCGGAGGUUGCAGUGAGCUGAGAUCAUGUCACUGCACUUCAGCCUGGCAACAGAGUGAGACUCCGUUUCAAAAAAAAAAAAAGAAAGAAAAAAGAAAGAAAAAGAAAACAAUAUCCCAUUUCUACUGAAGGGAGAAAAGAUCUCCAACUGGUAAUAGAGGGAUUGAUUAAAGAUGGACUAUUAGAACCCUGCAUGUCACUAUACAAUACUCCAAUUUUCCCAGUCAAAAAGCCUGAUGGGUUCUAUAGAUUGGUGCAAGAUCUAGGGACUAUGAAUCAAAUUGUCCAGACCCACCAUCCUGUGGCACCUAACCCCUACGCCCUCCUUAAUAAGAUACUCUAUGAACAUAAGUGAUUCAGUGUGGUGGGUCUAAAAGAUGUAUUCUGGGCAUGUCCCCUAGAUCUUAGGAGCAGGGACCUCUUUGUCUUUGAAUAAGAAAAUCCUAUAACUGGGAGAAAACAACAGGACUGCUAGACUGUGCUGCCACAAGGUUUCAUGGCAGCCCCAAAUGUAUUUGGUCAAAUAAUAGAAAAAGUCCGGGAGGAAUUCCAACCUUCCAGGGGAACCCAGUCAUUACAAUAUGUAGAUAAUCUUUUAAUUUCUGGGGAGAGGAGGGCCGAGGUAUCAGAAACCACCAUAAGCUUGCUUAAUUUCCUAGGAGAAAGGGGAUUGCAAGUCUCUAAGAACAAAUUGCAGUUUGUAGAAAAAGAAGUUAAAUAUUUAGGACACCUGAUUAGUGAAGGGAAGUGGAGAAUAAACCCAGAGAGAAUAUCUGGAAUAGUGGGCCUGCCUUUGCCUAAGACAGAGAGAACUCCGAAAAUUUUUAGGUUCAACUGGCUACUGCAGGUUGUGAAUUGACUCAUAUGCUCAAAAGACAAAAAUUCUGUAUCUCAAGUUACUAGAAGAGGAACCCGAUCCCAUGCAAUGAUCCCCAUAGGAAAUUCAGGUAGUGAAAGAGCUAAAGCAGGCCCUCAUUACUGCCCCGGUCCUGGCCCUCCCAUCUUUAGAGAAACCAUUCCAUCUGUUUGUAACAGUAGACCAGAGUUUGGCCUUGGAGUGCUCACUCAUACCGGGGGAGGGAAGAGGCAACCUGUUGCUUUUGUCUCCAAGCUUCUUGAGCCUGUCUCUCGGGGGUGGCCUGAAUGUGUGCAAGCAGUAGCUGCCACAGCCCUGCUGGUAGAGUCAAAAGCUAACUUUGGUGGGGCCCUAAUAGUAAGCACCCACACCAAGUCAGGAAUAUAUUAAAUCAAAAAGCCAGGAGGUGGUUAAUGGAUUCUUGGAUUCAAAAAUAUGAAGCCAUGUCACUAGAAAAAGAUAAUUUGGCUGUAACAACAGAUACUUGCCUGAAUCCAGCCAGUUUCCUAUGGAAAGGAGAGAAGAACAAAGAGACAUCAGACCAUAACUGCUUAGAUAUCAUAGAAUACCAAAUCAAAGUUAGACCAGACCUUAAGGAAGCUCCACUACAUGAUGGGAUAAGGCUGUUUGUGGAUGAGUUUUCCCAAGUGACAAAUGGCAAGAGACAUAAUGGUUAUGCUGUUAUUGGUGGAAAUAGUUAACCAAGUAAUGACCCUAAAAGGGUAGAAAUAAUUGAGGUAAAGGAUUUAAGGCAAACUUUAGAAAUUGAGACAGGGUACAGGGAUGUGAAUGCCUGGUUCAAAUUUUCAGUACAAGCCCUCAACAAGAGUAAUUGCUGGCUGGGCGCAGUGGCUCACGCCUGUAAUCCCAACACUUUGGGAGGCUGGGGCAGGCAGAUCACGAGGUCAGGAGAUCGAGACCAUCCUGGCUAACACAGUGAAACCCCGUCCCUACUAAAAAUACAAAAAAUUAGCCAGGCGUGGUGGCACGUGCCUGUAAUCAUAGCUACUCGUGAGGAUGAGGCUGAGGCUGAGGCAGGAGAAUCGCUUGAACCCGGGAGGCGGAGUUUACAGUGAGCCGAGAUCAUGCCACCGCACUCCAGCCUGGGUGACAGAGCGAGAGUCCGUCUCAAAAAAGAAAGUAAUUGCUAUGUGCGUGCUGCGGGACGACCUCAGGCCCAGGUGAUUCCAUUUCCCCUAGGAUGGGAUACCGAUCCUGAAGGCAUGCAUUGCAUGUUGGCUCUAUACCAGGACAAAGAUGCAUGGGAAAUGAGACUUGUAAGAGCCUGUCAUUGUUCUUUCCUGCAUUGUGGUGGUCAGAUCCCAGAGCAAUCCCCUCAUUCUCUAUAGGGAAUAUGAACCACUCCUCUUGUCUCUCUAGGCAGGGGGCAGAGUUCAAUAAGCCCGUGGGAGAACUCUCGUACUUGUACCCACAUCCUAAUUGUCACUGCUGAGUCAGGCAAUGGCAAUUACUCAGCUCUCCAUAUACUCUGGGCUGUUGUCUGGUGGUAUUGUGGGAAAGGGGACCUCCAUAACCUGUUAGUUACUGUCCAACUGGACCAGGACUUGUGCUUUAGUCCAAUUGGCCAUUCCUUUCACCCUGGCAUUCCAUAAGAUACCCGAAAAUACACAUGGCCACCAAAACCAGACAGAUUUGACAAAUUCUUUUGAUCCCAAUAUAUAUAUUGACUCGACAGGAGUCCCCAAGGGGGUGCCUAAUGAAUUUAAGGCCUGAAGCCAAAUAGCUGCUGGGUUUGAGUCAGCACUCUUUUGGUGAUCAAUUAUUAAUAAGAAUGUGGAUUGGAUUAACUAUAUCUGUUAUAAUCAACAGAGAUUCAUCAAUUGUACUCAGGACGCCCUCAAAGAGGUGGCUAGCGAGUUUGAUGCCACCAGCCAAAUGGCCUGGGAAACAGACUUGUGCUAGACAUGAUACUAGCAGAAAAAGGGGGUGUAUGUGUUAUGCUAGAUGGGAAAUGUUGUACUUUCAUUCCCAACAAUAUUGCCCCAGAUGGGACCAUCACCAAAGUUUUACAAGGACUGACAACUGUAGCCAAUAAACUGGCAGAAAAUGCUGGAAUUGACCCAUUUACAGACUGGCUAGAAGGUUGGUUUGGAAAAUGGAAAGACAUGGUAGCUUCAAUCCUUACAUCUCUCAUAAUUGUGGCAGGAGUCUUAACAGCAGUGGGAUGUUGUAUUAUCCCUUGUGUGAAGGGAGUAGCACAGAGAUUAAUUGAAACAGCUAUUAAUAAACAAAUGCCAAUGACUUACCAGCAAAAUAACCUGCUACUAUUAGAAACCAAAUUAAACUCACUCUCCUAUAAGGAAGAAAGUAGACAACUUCUAGAGUGAUUGGAGGACCAAAAGGGUUUAGAUGAAAAUGAGACCAAAGGAAGUAAAUAAAAAAGAGGAGGGAAUUUGUGAGAAAACAUUUUACAUGGUCAAUUUUCAAGGCAUGAUAAAUCUAUGUACUGGCAACCAGCCUGUGGACAUGACAAACCACAUGGCUCAUGUACCUAGAAAGUCAUGAUAAGGAAACAGAAUGUAGAGCAGGGGUCAGCCCAUAAAAGGGAAGAAAGUUUUGUUAUUGGGAAAUCGAAAUGUAAGUGGGGUAGGGGACUGGGGUAUAAUCUUAUAAAAGAUAAUGAAACUUAGGUGAUAUCUGGGACUAUUGUAACCCCAUAGUACUUGACCAAUGAGGAACUGGGGGAGGGACUUGCAUGCAAGAGAUAAAUUACCUGCUGUAACUGCCCCAGGUGUGCCUGCCUACCAGACACCCGAUUUUGUAAGACCGCCAUUAAAAGUCUCGCUUCCACUGUUCUUCGUGUCUCUGAGUCUAUUCUUUGGGUUUGGACGGGUGAAUGUGUUUCUCACAUUUUCUGCCUUUCGCCUAUAUGGAAAUACCAAAAUAUGAUUGUUCUGACCUUCAAAAUAUGAUUCUGUGAGUAUAGUGGUAUAGGAGUAUCUUAUCAGCAAGACAAAUCCACAGCUAACUCAAUAUCCUAUCAGAGUGUUUGGCUACUGUAAUACAGUUAUUUCAGGGCUAAUCUCUGCCAACUUUUCUUCUCAAACACACACACACACACACACACACACACACACACACACACACACACAUAGGGAUAUGGAUGCACCCAUAAACAAAAAACUGGGGGCUCGAUAUAUUAACCAAAGCAAAGCCUUCUGAGCUUCUCUUUGCCCCCCAAAAAAGGAUGAUAAAUGAAAGUCUGAAUCAUUCCUAGGAGAAGAAGCAGCAGACACCAAUGCAGGAUUGGUCUUCCACUUCCAGUCUGGACAAGAUAGCAUAGACUCAUUUCUCCCUGCUUCUCCCAGGUAAGCCCAACCAGAAAUCCUGGAAAUAAUUCAAGAGGUGGCCACAGGAGAAUUCUAAAAGGUGUAAAGGGGAAGGCAGAACGAUUAGGAAUCCCAGGACUGGAGGAACACCAUAGUAGCAGGGUACCUUAUGACUCUCAAGCCAUAAAUGUGACCCAGGCCCAGCAUUUCCCAAACCCCAACGUAGCAAUAGAAAAUGGUUCCUGUAGGUUCCUUUCUCCUCUGCAUUGAAUGGGAGUCCUACUGACACCAACAGGUAAGCCUGGCAACUCCAGCAAGUGGGAUUUAGCAAGGUGCCUCACUGACAAUAAGCAGCCAGCAGAAGUGCUGUCCUUUCCCACAAGGUCAGAGACUCCCCUACCCCACUGAAAGAUACUCUCCAAGCAAGCACACCAUCAAGGGGAAACGUGACCAUGACAAGUAGCCUAGCCCAGGAAGCCUGUUUGUUUUCAUGGUCUUGAGGCUUCUCUCUUCCUCUGAGAGAUACCAGGAAGGCAGGCAGCAAAGUCAGGGGAGUCCCACCAGAACCAGCAGAGACAAGGAAGAUUCUUUGUUUCCACAGACUAGAAAAAUCACUUCCCCCACCUAGAGGCACCAGGCAACCCUAUCUGAGGAACACUCUGCUUCCUCAGGCAGCACCAGCAGGGAAGAGUGGACCCAUUAGCACCACAUGAAUCAAGCAGAUCAAAAUAGCACUACAGAGGCUCUGAAACUAAAUUGUCAUUGGAAUCACAGCCUUCAAAAGUAGGCCAGGACCUGCAUGCUAAACCUAAACAAACUGACUGCCUGCUAAAAUCAAAUAUUUAAGUAGGAAUUAGAGUCUUCUAAUAUAAUAGUCAACAUAUCCAGAAUAUGAUAAAAAUCACCCUAAAACAAUCAACUGAUACCAACACCAAGAUGAAUUAGAUGUUGAAAUUAUCUGACAAGGGAUUUAAUGUAGCCACCACAAAAAUGCUUUAAUAAGUAAUUGCAAAGUCUCUUGAAAUAAAUGGAAAAAAUAUAAAAUCUUAGCAUAGCAAUAGAAGUUAUACAAAAGAAUCAAAUAUACUCCAGGCCAGUCUGACAUGGUACAUUCAGUCUCUGAUUAAGAACGUGGAGUAGGGCAAGGACAAGUUAAGAUGGGAAAUACAUGUGUGGUUCUGUGAUGGAGCUGCAGCUGAAUUAUUUCAUCACAAGGGGCUCUUAUGUUAUCAAAGGACACAGACCUGAACCUUGACUGAGUAGUUUUCUGAGGGGCAUUGAGCACUUCCUGGGGAGUCCAGAAUUGGGAAACUUGGUUUUGACCUUCAUGUGGCUGUGUGACUAUCUCUUAUCUGCCUCUUUCUGGGAAUAGGAACUACUUCAAAUCCAGGAAGGGAGGCUGGUCAAAUACAAAUAACAAUAAACAGCCCAAUGGCAACCCUUCCUUGCAGUGAGUACUUACUGUGUGCCAAACACUGAACUAGAUCUCUUUGUGAUCAUCCAUUCAUGGAAUCCUCACAGCAGCCCUCCACUAAGGGCAUUUUUGAGAUCUCAGGUUUAAUUGGGUUAAAGUUCCCUCAGUAGACACCUGGGGUAUCUACCAGCCUACAAGGACCUGUGCCGGGUACAGGUAUAGGUGAUACUGUGAUGACACCCUUCAUAGACACAUGUGACUAGAGCUCACAGCAGGUGGGGGCAAGCAAGUUCCUG
rnacentral:lncRNA from 1 species